AGGGCUGGGGAGAAAUGAGCCCUCUCAACACGGACACGGAAGCCUGGCUAGGAGCUGCAGGUCAAUGACUGAAAAUGGCACAUUUGAAGAGCAGAAAUGAAGAUGUCCUUGAGAGGUUCACUGGGAGAUUGCACUUCGCAUUCAAAAGGAAGAUUAUGAACCUAGGACUUUGGAGAAGAACCUUAGAGUUAGUUUAGAUCAUUAACCAAAAGUUGGAAGAUAAGUUAAAUUUUAUUGAAACGUGGGGCCUCUUAUGCAACCAUACUUGCACUAAAUAAGCUUGGAAUCUGACUUGCUAUAGUGAAUGGGAGGUCUAAUUAUCCAUCUCUGGAAUUUCUGUGGAGAAACCAUCACUUACAUGACCUUUCAUAUGUUCCUUUGAAAGAACCUUCCGCAUUUUUUCUUUUUCCCCCUUUCCCGGGUUUUUAUUACUUGUUUUAACUUUUCUUCUGGGAUAUCAAUUACUACUAUUUCCCUCCUUUAUAGGUAGGAUUCACACAUGCUCAACCUCCCUCGAGUUCCUACUUCACUGAGAUGUGCCAUCUUUUCCUCACUGAUACUGUCUUCCCAGCAGCAGAACCCAGGCUGUUGUGCUACACUGUUACACAAGCUUUAUUUCCUUUACCAAAAGUCUCAUAUUUUCCCUUUUUAAGAUGAUCUUGGAAAAAGAGAUGAGUGUUUCUGAAGCAGAGGUCCUUCAGUAAUCGGAACAAUAAUUUUAAGCAGUGAGCUCCCAUAGAAAGUGAAGGGAGCCUGUUGAACAUCUAUGUGAAAUUAGCAUGAAUUCAACGGUGUCUGAAGCAGCCUCUGCAAAAUGUGUCUCUAAGGACUCAUCAUCACCUGCAUGUCUUGAUCU